CCCUUAGAUGUUCUGGGCUGCACGCGCGCUACACUGAUGCGUUCAACGAGUUUAUGACCUUGCCCGAUAGGGUUGGGUAAUCUUUUUAAAUCGCAUCGUGAUGGGGAUAGAUUAUUGCAAUUAUUAAUCUUCAACGAGGAAUUCCUAGUAAGCGCGAGUCAUCAGCUCGUGCUGAUUACGUCCCUGCCCUUUGUACACACCGCCCGUCGCUCCUACCGGUUGAGUGAUCCGGUGAAUAAUUCGGACUGCAGCAGUGUUCAGUUCCUGAACGUUGCAGCGGAAAGUUUAGUGAACCUUAUCACUUAGAGGAAGGAGAAGUCGUAACA
rnacentral:rRNA from 1 species